rnacentral:rRNA from 1 species
AGUUGAGCGGAGAUAUAUGGAGCUUGCUUUAUAUAACUUAGCAGCGAACGGGUGAGUAACACGUAGAUAAUCUAUCCUAUACUGGGGGAUAGCCCGAUGAAAGUUGGAUUAAUACCGCAUAUAGCUAUAUAGUUGCAUGAUUAUGUAGUGAAAGAUUUAUUGGUAUAGGAGGAGUCUGCGGCACGUUAGCUAGUAGGUGAGGUAAAGGCUUACCUAGGCGACGAUGUGUAGCCGGUCUGAGAGGAUGAACGGCCACAAUGGAACUGAGACACGGUCCAUACUCCUACGGGAGGCAGCAGUGGGGAAUAUUGCACAAUGGGGGAAACCCUGAUGCAGCAACGCCGCGUGAGUGAAGAAGGUUUUCGGAUUGUAAAGCUCUGUUAGCAGGGAAGAGGAAGGACGGUACCUGCAGAGGAAGCCACGGCUAACUACGUGCCAGCAGCCGCGGUAAUACGUAGGUGGCAAGCGUUGUUCGGAAUAACUGGGCGUAAAGGAUGCGUAGGCGGUUAAACAAGUUAUAUGUUAAAUAUAUAGGCUUAACCUGUAGAAAGCAUAUAAAACUGUUUAACUAGAGUGCAGGAGAGGUAAGUGGAAUUCCUAGUGUAGCGGUGAAAUGCGUAGAGAUUAGGAAGAACACCAGUGGCGAAGGCGACUUACUGGACUGUAACUGACGCUGAGGCAUGAGAGCAUGGGGAGCAAACAGGAUUAGAUACCCUGGUAGUCCAUGCCGUAAACGAUGGGUACUAGGUGUGGGUUGUGAAUAACAAUUCGUGC